rnacentral:rRNA from 1 species
UACGUAGGGGGCUAGCGUUGUCCGGAUUUAUUGGGCGUAAAGAGCGUGUAGGCGGCCAGGUAGGUCUGCUGUGAAAACUCGAGGCUCAACCUCGAGACGUCGGCGGAAACCGUCUGGCUAGAGUCCGGAAGAGGAGAAUGGAAUUCCUGGUGUAGCGGUGAAAUGCGCAGAUAUCAGGAAGAACACCCGUGGCUAAGGCGGUUCUCUAGUACGGUACUGACGCUGAGACGCGAAAGCGUGGGGAGCGAACAGG